rnacentral:rRNA from 1 species
CGCGUAGGCGGUCUGAUAAGUCAGUUGUGAAAGCCCGGGGCUCAACCCCGGAAGUGCAAUUGAAACUGUCAGGCUUGAGUAUGGUAGAGGGAAGUGGAAUUCCUGGUGUAGCGGUGAAAUGCGUAGAUAUCAGGAGGAACACCGGUGGCGAAGGCGGCUUCCUGGACCAAUACUGACGCUGAGCUGCGAAAGCUAGGGGAGAGAACAGGAUUAGAUACCCUGGUAGUCC